rnacentral:lncRNA from 1 species
UAUAAUCCAAAGCUUGUUUAUCCAGUCCAAUCGCGGGGUAAUGUUGCAAAUCUGAGGGAUAUUGCCAUGGAUAGCUUGGAGAAAUUUGGAGUGGGUAUCGUUGAUCCUGACAAGAUAUAUGAGUUCUACAAUGAUCAGCACAGCUACCUUUCUAGUGUGGGUGUGGAUGGCGUGAAGGUUGAUGUUCAGAACGUGUUGGAAACUCUUGGACGCGGAUUUGGUGGUCGUGUUGCAGUAACUCGAAAGUACCAGCAGGCUCUUGAGGAAUCAAUUGCCCAGAACUUCAAAACAAACAACCUAAUCUGUUGCAUGAGUCACAAUUCAGACAGCAUCUUUAGGUAGCAUAUUUCUAGCUGUGGAAAAUAUGAGUGUAGAUAGAAUCUGAUAUAAUUCUUGGUUGUUUUCUAGUGCCUUGAAGAGUGCAGUUGCUAGAGCCUCAGAAGAUUUCAUGCCUCGGGAACCAACACUGCAAACUCUGCACAUUGCGUCUGUGGCAUUCAAUAGCCUAUUGUUGGGAGAAAUCUUCAUACCUGACUGGGAUAUGUUCCAUGUGAGAUCUCGGGCAGUAUGUUUAGGCUCACUUCUAUACUUCAGUAGCAGCUAAUUUUCGUUUUCCUUGUGAAGAGCAAGCAUGAAUCAGCGGAAUUCCACGGAGCAGCUAGAGCCCUGAGUGGAGGUGGUGUUUAUGUCAGGUAGUUUUGUGUAGACCAUUUACUUAAUAUAUCUUCUAUUUAUGGUCUUGUGGUUGAUUACUUUUAAUCCAAGCACAGGAAUUGACCAUGCAUGUAAAUUUGUUGUGAUACGCAGUGACAAACCUGGGGUGCAUGAUUUCAGUGUUCUAAAAAAGCUUGUUCUACCAGAUGGUUCGAUUCUAAGAGCAAGGUAUGCUGGUCGUCCUACACGCGAUUGUCUGUUCACUGACCCAGUCAUGGAUGGCAAAAGGUAUGAGCACGAAUAUAGAUUUACAUUUUCUUUUGCUACUAAGUUGUUCCUUAUAGCAUACUCCCUCCGUUUCGUUUUAGUUGUCGCUGGAUAGUGCAAAAUUAAACUAUUCAGCGACAACUAAAAAGAAACGGAGGGAGUGCUAAUUUGUGAAUUCUUCUGCAGUCUGAUGAAGAUAUGGAACUUGAACAAUUUCACUGGUGUCAUUGGAGUGUUCAAUUGUCAGGGAGCUGGACAGUGGGUUUGGCCAGUUAAACAAACUGCUUAUGUUCCUACCAACAUAAACAUAACUGGUCAGCUCUCACCGUCCGACGUAGAAUCUCUCGAGGAGAUAGCUGGUGAUGACUGGAAUGGGGAGACUGCAGUAUAUGCUUUCGGUUCAUGUAAAUAUUGUUGGCUGACUGUUUCUUUCUAACAAUCCCAUCGUACCACUAUACUAUCAGUGACUGAUUAGCCAUCUGUUUUGUCUCCCAGGUUCUCUUUCAAGGCUUCAGAAACACCAAAGUUUGGAGGUGUCACUGUCUACUAUGACAUGUGAGAUCUACAGCAUUUCACCAAUAAAGGUCAGAACUUCAGAUUACUUUCCACUCCCUCCCUUCUUACAUGUAUUCCACAUUGUAAAUAUUAAGUUUUUACAGACGUUCUUUGCUUCUUGCACCAGAUUUUCAGCGAAGUCGUCCAGUUUGCGCCUCUUGGACUGAUCGACAUGUUCAACUCCGGUGGUGCACUUGACAAUAUUUCAAGCGUUGCAGAUUCUUCAGCUACGACAGUUCAUAUAAGAUGCCGAGGACCAGGGCGGUUUGGGGCGUAUUCAGACACCAGGCCAGAGCUUUGCAGAGUUGAUGAACACGAAGUGGAGUUCACUCUUGCAGAGGAUGGCCUCCUGACCUUUUACCUUCCCCCUUCUUCCUCCCAGGACAACCUGAGACACGUUGAGAUUGUCUACAAAGCAUCAUGAACGACAUUUACCCUUAUGAUUCUUACGCUCCAGCAUGCAAUUUCUGGCGUGCUCUUCAGUAACCACCACACAUGCACAUUGACAUGAUGUAACAAAGAACCCAUUUUGUUGGAUUUGACUGUGUAUGCUGUGCUGCAAAUACCUGUUUUAUACGAUUGUUCUGCACCUGGACUGCUAUAAUUUGAUUGAGAUGGUAUAGUUUUUUUAGAUAAAAGAUGGACAUGGUAUUUGAAUUAUUGAGAUCCAUUUUUAACCUGAUGCCUUACUAAAUACUGUCAGGCUGCCCCAACGUGAACUUGUCAAACCUUUUGGAGUCUGAUUAAAUUGAUAGAAAAGAACAUCUUAGUCAAACCUUUUGAAGUCUGAUUAAAUUGAUAGAAAAGAACACCGAGAUUUAUGUCUCAAAUAAGCAAAUGCUAUAAGAAUAUGCCUUUCAUAUGUACGUCUAUAUAAUACUAGUGGUGAGUUAGGAACAGGAUGAGGAUCUCCUGUCAAAAGCCCAAAAUCUUACCAGCCAAAAAUCGAAGGGACAAAUUUAAUAUCGUCUACGGUGUCAAUAAGUUAAGAUUAGCUUAUCUCCUUUUGAAACUCUAAAAACAGUGCAGAGAACAAUAAAGCUACCCAACUUCCAAACGCCAAAGGACCAGAAUUAAAUUUAUCAGAAUUGGCAGGGGCCGCGCGAACGCGUACCCCCUCUACCACAAAUUAUGACGUCCACUCUCCCACUUGGGGAGAUGGUAAGCCAGCGCACCCGCCAUGUGCAAUGCAGGCCACUGACCUAGGCCACUGGGCUUCUUGAUCCCUAGUCGACCCCGUCCAGGUAAGUAUGGAGCAAUGGAGCACGGAGCGCUCAUCUUAUAGCGCGAGCUCGUGGCGCGUCUGCCUUCGCCUGGCGAGGUGGUGCUAAAUCCUGAGACCGAACGAAACGCGUUCUGCACUUGUGCGCGCUGCUGCUUGAGUUCUCGUGGGCCACUGCUUGUAGUCCAUGGACCUUUAACCUCGAGCCCAACAUAUUUUCCUUUUCCGUGUUUGGAAACAACCGGACUGCGAGCUGCAAUGGACUGGACCCGGUUAGGCGUGAAAUUAGAGCCUUUUGAGAGUGCAAUUAUUAUCCGUGCCCUAUAACAAUGUUUUACUGUUCUUCAACAGCUUCAAAUCCGAAGUUCAUCCCUUAGUUUUUUCUUUUCUAUUUUAUUAAAAAAAAUCAAACAAGUUCGCCACUGCUAUGUAUGUUUCAUGUGAUCAUUAGGUUGUAUAGUGAACUCUCUAGUAAUCGGGGCCAGGCUAAAAAAAGGCAGCAUAGUACCAGGGAUUAACAAGGACGCAUGUUGCCAAAAAAAGAAAAAGAAAUCGCAGAUCACUACUACAUCUCAUCACAGUCCGUGUCGUUACACAGGAAAUACAUGUAGUGCUCCUCAAGCGAGGCAGUGCAUCUUGCUCUCUUGUUAGAUGAGAGCUGGACUCACUAAACCUCUGGACACGCAGUUUGUUGUAGGCUUCCAUGUUGAGAUCCGAGGCCAGGAAGAGCUCGCCUCCACCUCGGCGACGCGUUCGGCCGAGGAGGAACGGCCUAGCAGCAUCUUCUCUGCUGAAGUCGUCCUUGACGACGUGUGCUCCUUUUCGAGCCUCUUCAUGAAGGAUCUGAUGACACCUGAAUAUGGUGGACUAUGACCUCAACGUUCUCGUCCUUAACAAAAGCUAGGUCGCCUACCCCAGUAGCUAAAGGCACUCAUGAUUCUUGUAACCUAUGCAAUAGCUGUAGUGCUAAUAGGUAACAACGGCUUACCCGAGUAAGGCCCUGUUCGUCUUGUGCCAAUCUAUAAGGAUUGAGGGGGAUUAAAUCCUCUACAAGUCAAAAUCCUCUCCAAUUCUUUCCAAUCCCCCUCAAUCACUAUGGUUUUGGGAUCAAACGAACAUGGCCUAAGGGCCUCAAUUUCCCGUCUUAGCCAGGUUUGAAGCCAAAUUUUCUUCCGGAGAUAUCUUUGUUGCUCCCAGUAUUGCUGCACACCAUAAAUGUUGCUUGUGGUCUCUAGUUAAUUCAGCAAGCAUAAGUCUUACAUAACAAGUGAGGCACAUAGAAUUCUGAUGUAGCAUACAGAAAGGUGAAAGGGGGAAAACAGAUUGGCAUAAUACCUUUUAUGUUAUAGAAUUAUGACACCAACUCGUGUGCAUCUGAAAGACGCCUGCACCAGGAGGAAAGGGGGAUUAGUAUACUUCUUCACAUAUGCAAUAAUAAGUUAUAAGUUUGUGCAUGCAGAUAGCCUCCAUCCAGCAACCAAAUGAAUGGUUGCUUGUGGAUAUGGGCUACAGGGUGCACAUGUAAUCACUGAAAGCAGCCGUUUCUCUCUACUCUGCUUUUUUGGUUGGUAUACCAAAGUUACUUCUGCUAUUGCCCAGUGAAGAUUUUCUAUUUAUUUAAUGAGCACAAGAGACAUACAGAAGAUUACCUUUUUAGUUAAAGUUCAUGUAAAUGCUUUCUUUUUCUAGAAGAAUAGAGUCAGUCUCUUUGCAGGCUACUGGUUAUGAAGGAUAGCCUUUGCCUUGUUCAUUUACUGAAUACUCACAAUCAUGCAUAACUAGAGGGAGAGAAAAAACAAGAGAGGACAGGUACCUCUUCCUAGGUUCCUGAUUUAUGUACCACCGCUCAAAUGAUUCGCCAUCAAAAGCGUGUAUGACGGAUAGAUUCUCAGUCUGCAAAACGCAAGAAGGUUACAUCAGGUCAGGACUUCAGCCCUAAGUCUGAGGCGAAAACAGAUGGUCAAAUCACUCGACCAACUACUGGUAAAGAAUUAAGGGUACCUAGACUUAAGCAACAAAUGGCAAAGGUGUUCACUUCACUCGACCAACUACUAAUAAAGAAUUAAGGUUACCUAGACUUUAGCAACAAAUGGCAAAGGUGAAACUAACACAUCCCAAAUUUGUAGUUAUUGUUCACAACUCAGAAUGUUAAUUGACAACUUCUCCAUUCUAAUAAAAUGACACCGGAUUUUCAGAGGGUACUGGAACAAUUUGCAUUUCCACAUGCUCUUAGUAAUUGAACCAUAGUUCAUUCAAAAGAAAUAUCAAUAAUUGAACCACUUACAUAGAGACCCACACGGUUUGACAAAGCAUGCGCUUCAGGAUGAUAAUAAAGCUGCUCAGAGUGAAUAUAAACUAGUGUUUGACGCGCGCCCUGCGCGCGCUGUUUUGUUAGCAUUGUAUCAAAAUGUACUCGCUCUGUCCCCUCCUCUAUUCAAAUAUAAUGUUUGUUUUAGCCUUUUGUUUUUAUCUAUAUUCAAAUGAUUGAUAAUUGAUAAUGAAUCUAGACACAUAUAUAAAACAUGAAUCCAUUAACAUCCUAAAACGAAUACUAUUUUAGGACGGGAGAGUAUAUAUAUAAAAGAAGGAUGGUAUAUACAGCAGUAAAUACAACAAUGACAUUUCUUUUCUUUUCUUUUACAAACAAACCGAAGAUAUGAUUAUAUAUAUAUUUUUGUCCCAGUUCGAAGUUGUACAUCAUCUAAAAUAUAUAAGUUGUAAUGAUCUGUUAUCUUCAUGAACCAGGCAGCCUUUGUAUCUGUACACAUGAAAAUACACCACUGCGUCAAAUGAUACUCCCUCCGUUCUUAAAUAUGAUGCCGUUGAUUUUUUUUAAACUUUGAUCACUCGUCUUUUUCAAAGUAUUUAUUCGAAAAUGUAAAUUUUCAAGUAAUGUCCAAACAACGAUAAAACAAAUCAUAACAAAAUAAAUGAUAAUUUACAAUUUUUUAAUAAAACAACUGGUUAAAGUUUUUUUUAAAAGUCAAUGGUGUCAUAUAUUUAAGAACGGAGGUAGGACUAUGUUGGAAACCAAAAAGGGCCUCGCGGACGGUCCGGUCCUGAGGCCAGACGGUCCGCGGUCCGGACUGUCCGCGGUGGUGGCGCUGACGGUCCGCGCGUGCGCAGAGACAGUUAUGGUUCCUAGUUUCUCGCGAUAUUUGUUACCUAAAACCGCGGGAUUAACUUGGAAAACCGUUUGAAGCGGAUCCAGACCUCCCCUUUAUAUAGAUGAAGGGCUACGACCGAUUGAAACCCCCAACAAUCGAUCAAAUCAAGUCUAUUUCUCGUUUUUUACCUUACGCAUUAGGAGUAGUUCUAGUUUAGCCCUAAUUUAGUAUUCCAAUCCUCAAAUUCUCCGCUUCUCUUCGACUCCACGUCGAUUAGAGGAGUCUAGGUCGGUCUAUCGAGCCUAGACAACACCUAGGAUCUAUCCUCCCUGACGGGGUCCCUCCCGGGAGAGAGAUCCAGGCGCCGCCGGCGACCUUCGCCGCCCCUGCACACGCGCGGACCGUCCGACUUAUAGGCGCGGACCGUCCGGCCGUCAGGCAGGGAGCCCAAGACCCUGUACUAGGUCGCGGACCUUCCGGCCCCUGGCCGCGGACCGUCCGCACCUCUGCAGAGGGCACCGCCGCCGGUUCUCACGCAGUGAUUGGCGCCCCAAAAAGGCACCAACACACUAAAUAUGCAAAUAACCCUUGUAUUGUAUCUGUACUAAACAUGCAUCAUCAAAUGGUAAUAAACUACAUCAAAUGGUACUAAACAUGCGUCAUGGCACCAACAGACUAAAUAUGCAAAUAACCCUUGUAUUGUAUCUGUACUAAACAUGCAUCCUCAAAUGGUACUAAACUGCAUCAAAUGGUACUAAACAUGCAUCGUCACGACUAGCAGAUGUCUCAAAUAACCAAGUUCUGUUUUCCAUCUCUCACAUUGCUACCAACAUAGUACUUUAACUACACACCGUUCUAAAUUAUGUGAACAAAGCCCACUGUAUGGUUUGUCACCAUAAAAUUCUAGCUCACAUGUUACUCUCUCCUAAAUUUUGUGAUUCUGUAUUACCGGUCGAAGGAAUUAGGUUAAGAAUACCAGUGGGCAAGGAUAAACUAAUGAUGAAAAAACCAUAGGACGAAUGCUAUGCCGAACUCAAACAAGACUAACUAAGUUUUUCUUUCAAAGUUGCAGCUGCCUGCAUUAGAAUAGUAACCUAUGAAAUAUUUACGCCUAAAUUGAAAUGGAAUCUUAAUUGCUUGUAGUAUAAACAAAUCUGAUAGUUAUGGCAUCUGUGAUACCUGAGUAUCCAUCAAAUGGAACCUUAUGAUUCAUGUCAUGCCAAACCACCAUUAUAUACAAUCAUCAGAACAUAUACAUUGUUCUAGUAGAAUAAGUUGAGAUUAGUGUACCCUAAAAUCUUAAUGCAUCUUGCUUGUAGCAGCUUCUUUUGCUUUUUCGUCCUAGGAAAGAAAUUAGUAUGGCAUUGAUAUAGACACUUGGACCAACUGUCUACAAAACAAAUAUUAGUUCAAGGACGUGUGCUUCCAAUAAUUUGUAGUUUUUUUCUUUUUUAACUUACUAUUGCUUUUCCUCGGGUCUUGUCUGUUUUUCUUACCACUUCAGGAUUCACACAGCUAACAACAUGUCCAAAUGAAACCUGAUAAGCGAGCAUCCAAAUUUAAUUGUUGGCGGUACCUUGGCUUUCGCCUGAACUUUGUUUUUUCCUCUUGCAGGGCAAAAUCAGCCCGCAUAACUAUUAGAGAGGGUUCUGUUGAAAAUGCAAUGUCUAUGGGACCUGGUAAAAUGGGUCUUAAAUAUAGCUGAAGAGACGUGCAACAUGAUCUUUGUGCUCAUUUAAGAAUGUUGGGCCGUGAGGAAUGCAGGUGGGAGUUUAGGAACUGGAGUAUACAUGAAGAUGAAGCAAAUAAUUAUUGGCUAGAAAUCCGACAUCAGGUAACGGUCCGUGGACAUUAAUAUACACAUCUAUCUUGUUCCAAACUUUUUUUUGUUGCUAUCAAGUUAACAUGGGGCCAGUCAGAAACUGGGCACAUAAUUGCUUUUUAUCUUCACACCACCUCCUCACGGUGCCAUCUAGCUCCUGAAAUGCAGAAAGAAGAAGCUCAAGGAGUUCAAACGCUAGCUGCUUCAAACAAACUGGGGACUAUACUGUACGGAGGAAAAAACCCAAAUAGAAAUGUAAGCUGGUGAUCAAAUUACUGAUGAUGCUCUUCUUUUAUUUCCUAUUGUUUCUCAAAUGCAAGUUGCUUACUACGUUCCAUAGAAACAAUUCAGACAACAAAUUGUACAGCCGUAGUGUUAUGAAAACAUACGAUAAAUGGACACCAAAGCAAAAUUUUGCAAUAAAUCUCCCCACGUAAUUAUCAUGUGGUCCAUGUGAAUUCAUACUCCUAUCUGUUACUUCCUCCAUUCCAAAUUAUAAAACAAUUUUAAUUUUCUAGAACCGUGAAGGAACUCCAUGUAUGCAACCUGGGUCAAAUAAUCUAUGAUAGGAUAGCUGGUUCAGUUGGUCACCGAGGAUCUGCUCUUGCAUGACUGAGAAUCUGAUGCCGCCAAAUGGGAGGGAGGGCUUUGGUGCUUAGGUAAUAACGACUAUACAAAAUAUGAAAUUUGUAGUGUCUACUGCAAGAGAAACUUGAGGGGCUACCAAUACAGGUCCAGCUUCCACCAUAUUCAAACCCACACACUAGGGAACUCCAUAAAAAGUAAAUUAAUAGACAAUGUGGUCUCCAAGAAUACUUACAUGAAGAAAGAAUUAGAUAUCCUAAGCACAUUCUACUUUCAUAAUCCUUUCAACCAACCAGACUCAGCAAAAAGGCGAUGCGGAGGGAAGGGAGCUCUACAGGAAGGGGAAUGAGGAGGGGGUGACGUGAGAGCCGAUAGGGACAAAACCGUGGAGGUGGAACAUUGCAACAGAUGAGAUGUUCAUCAUCAUAUAGCAUCGACAACAUAUAUCCGUUCAAUAGGUCCUUAAGACAGCUUCAACAAAGAGAUGUGGUAGGUAACAGGUAAUGAGGGUGCAUCAAAUCCUAGAUAAACCUCACAAUCAACCCUAAGUAUUUGUGCAACAGAGCAUCUUUCCUCAAGUAAAUUUCAUUGACAUAAUAUUACUUUCUAACAAAACAACCAUAUGCUGAUUAUAACACCAGUCUUUAGUACUACAGGGUUGCUACACAUACCGGAAAAAGGGGAGAUAAGGAUUCCAAAACACCCGGAGGAAACAUGUAUAUGGGGCCAUAUCCAAUCAAGAAAUACGAACAAACGUGGCAUCACAAAGAAAUUUUCUCUAGUAAGCAAGUAGGUACCAUUAUAACUUCGAUGAUCAGAGUAACUUCCAUUUAGUUGACUUCUUGAACCAACCCAUUUUCCAUCAGAUCUCCUAUUUUCGUUGUACUCAUCAUUGUCAUCCUGCAAAAUGAUGAUCAAUGAACACAUAGUGAAAUUCAAAGAGAAUAACAUUUUUCCAAAAAUAAGGAUCACUGCCAUCCUGUAAGGGUAUCCAUUUCGUUGAGGAUCAUUGUCAUCCUGUAAGGGUAUCCAUUUCAUUGAGGAUCUAUUCCUUAAAAAAUACUCACGAUGAAGCCUACAGGUCAAGUAAAAUAUGUUAGAAUAUAUUUAGUAGUUUAGAUAUAUAUAAGAAUAUGUACAUGUGUAGAUGUACGAUUGACAAAAUGGUCUGACAACAUAAUUUAAUUGUUAACCCAAGUGGGAUUGAGGAGGGCCUUCAAAGGUUUGUAGGAACAAAUGUUUCACUAGAAAAUGGGAACACACACUAAGAGCAUCUUUUGCCUCAUUUUCAUAGCUAUCACUUACUAAUGAUGCAUUUCAUGUCCUACAGUCUGCGUGAAGGUGGUGUGCCACCAAGGUUUCUGAUUAUAGAUGAUGGUUGGCAAGAAACAGUUGACGAAAUCAAGGAAGUGGAUGAAGCCCUCCGUGCGCAGACUGUGUUAGUGUUCCAUCCUUUGGUAAUCCAUAAAAGUGUGCAUAGCGCCAGUUCCUGAUUCAUACUGUAAUUAUGCCAGAUUUGCGCAGAGGCUGGCUGAUCUGAAGGAGAAUCAUAAGUUCAGGGGGGAAACCUGCAAGAAUCUUGAGGACCUUGUUAAAACGAUAAAAGAAAAACAUGGAGUCAAGUAAAUUUUUUUUUUCAGAAUACUUGUUCUAUGAUGACUGAAUCUUUAUAUUUUUUGAUGGUUAAGAUGCAAUGUGCAAAACUAUAGGUGCGUCUACAUGUGGCAUGCUUUACUUGGAUAUUGGGGAGGCACCUUAGCAACAUCCAAAGUGAUGAAGAAGUAUAAUCCAAAGCUUGUUUAUCCAGUCCAAUCGCGGGGUAAUGUUGCGAAUCUGAGGGAUAUUGCCAUGGAUAGCUUGGAGAAAUUUGGAGUGGGUAUCGUUGAUCCUGACAAGAUAUAUGAGUUCUACAAUUAUCAGCGCAGCUACCUUUCUAGUGUGGGUGUGGAUGGCGUGAAGGUUGAUGUUCAGAACGUGUUGGAAACUCUUGGACGCGGAUUUGGUGGUCGUGUUGCAGUAACUCGAAAGUACCAGCAGG